AGUGAACGCUGGCGGUAGGCCUAACACAUGCAAGUCGAACGGCAGCACAGUAAGAGCUUGCUCUUACGGGUGGCGAGUGGCGGACGGGUGAGGAAUACAUCGGAAUCUACUUUUUCGUGGGGGAUAACGUAGGGAAACUUACGCUAAUACCGCAUACGACCUACGGGUGAAAGCAGGGGAUCUUCGGACCUUGCGCGAUUGAAUGAGCCGAUGUCGGAUUAGCUAGUUGGCGGGGUAAAGGCCCACCAAGGCGACGAUCCGUAGCUGGUCUGAGAGGAUGAUCAGCCACACUGGAACUGAGACACGGUCCAGACUCCUUCGGGAGGCAGCAGUGGGGAAUAUUGGACAAUGGGCGCAAGCCUGAUCCAGCCAUACCGCGUGGGUGAAGAAGGCCUUCGGGUUGUAAAGCCCUUUUGUUGGGAAAGAAAUCCAGCCGGCUAAUACCUGGUUGGGAUGACGGUACCCAAAGAAUAAGCACCGGCUAACUUCGUG
rnacentral:rRNA from 1 species